UCAAUGGGCGAGAGCUUGAACCAGCCAAGUAGCGUGCAGGAUGACGGCCCUAUGGGUUGUAAACUGCUUUUAUAAGGGAAUAAAGUGAGCCUCGUGAGACUUUUUGCAUGUACCUUAUGAAUAAGGACCGGCUAAUUCCGUGCCAGCAGCCGCGGUAAUACGGAAGGUCCGGGCGUUAUCCGGAUUUAUUGGGUUUAAAGGGAGCGUAGGCCGGAGAUUAAGCGUGUUGUGAAAUGUAGACGCUCAACGUCUGCACUGCAGCGCGAACUGGUUUCCUUGAGUACGCACAAAGUGGGCGGAAUUCGUGGUGUAGCGGUGAAAUGCUUAGAUAUCACGAAGAACUCCGAUUGCGAAGGCAGCUCACUGGAGCGCAACUGACGCUGAAGCUCGAAAGUGCGGGUAUCGAACAGGAUUAGAUACCCUGGUAGUCCGCACGGUAAACGAUGGAUGCCCGCUGUUGGUCUGAAUAGGUCAGCGGCCAAGCGAAAGCAUUAAGCAUCCCACCUGGGGAGUACGCCGGCAACGGUGCAACUCAAAGGAAUUGACGGA
rnacentral:rRNA from 1 species